rnacentral:rRNA from 1 species
AGGGUGUAAACGCUGCAGACUUGGUGUUGGGAACCCUUCGGGGGUGCUCAGUGCCGGAGAGAAGUUGUUAAGUCUGCUACUUGGGGAGUACGUCCGCAAAGGAUGAAACUUAAAGGAAUUGGCGGGGGAGCACCGCAACGGGAGGAGCGUGCGGUUUAAUUGGAUUCAACGCCGAAAAACUCACCAGCAGCGACUGUUACAUGAAAGUCAGGUUGAUGACCUUACUAGAUUUUCAGAGAGGAGGUGCAUGGCGUCAGUGACU